AGUGAACGCUGGCGGUAGGCCUAACACAUGCAAGUCGAACGGCAGCACAGGAGAGCUUGCUCUCUGGGUGGCGAGUGGCGGACGGGUGAGGAAUACAUCGGAAUCUACUUUUUCGUGGGGGAUAACGUAGGGAAACUUACGCUAAUACCGCAUACGACCUACGGGUGAAAGCAGGGGAUCUUCGGACCUUGCGCGAUUGAAUGAGCCGAGGUCGGAGUAGCUAGUUGGCGGGGUAAAGGCCCACCAAGGCGACGAUCCGUAGCUGGUCUGAGAGGAUGACCAGCAACCCUGGAAAUGAGAAACGGUCCAGACGCCUACGGGGGGCUGCAGUGGGGAAUAUUGGACAAUGGGGGCAAGCCUGAUCCAGCCAUACCGCGUGAGUGAAGAAGGCCUUCGGGUUGUAAAGCCCUUUUGUUGGGAAAGAAAUCCAGCUGGUUAAUACCCGGUUGGGAUGACGGUACCCAAAGAAUAAGCACCGGCUAACUUCGUGCCAGCCGCCGCGGUAA
rnacentral:rRNA from 1 species